rfam:Gasterosteus aculeatus cont1.009819, whole genome shotgun sequence.
GUUGUUGUGGCCGAGAGGUUAAGGCGAUGGACUUGAAAUCCCAUUGGGGUCUCCCCGCGCAGGUUCGAGUCCUGCCAGCAACG